rnacentral:rRNA from 1 species
UGAGGAAUAUUGGACAAUGGGCGGGAGCCUGAUCCAGCCAUGCCGCGUGCAGGAAGACGGCCCUAUGGGUUGUAAACUGCUUUUAUACGGGAAGAAACACCCCCUCGCGAGGGGGCUUGACGGUACCGUAGGAAUAAGGAUCGGCUAACUCCGUGCCAGCAGCCGCGGUAAUACGGAGGAUCCGAGCGUUAUCCGGAAUCAUUGGGUUUAAAGGGUCCGUAGGUGGACGGUUAAGUCAGGGUGAAAUCCCGCAGCUCAACUGUGGAAUUGCCCUUGAUACUGGCCGUCUUGAGUCAUUGUGAAGUGGUUGGAAUAUGUAGUGUAGCGGUGAAAUGCAUAGAUAUUACAUAGAACACCGAUUGCGAAGGCAGAUCACUAACAAUGCACUGACACUGAUGGACGAAAGCGUGGGGAGCGAACAGGAUUAGAUACCCUGGUAGUCCACGCCGUAAACGAUGGUCACUAGCUGUCCGGAACUUG